AUACGUAGGGGACGAGCGUUGUCCGGAAUUACUGGGCGUAAAGGGCGCGCAGGCGGAUAUUUAAGUCAGCUGUAAAAGGCAUGAGCUCAACUCAUGUAUGCGGUUGAAACUGGGUAUCUAGAGUGCUGGAGAGGUAGGCGGAAUUCCCGGGGGAGCGGUGAAAUGCGUAGAUAUCGGGAAGAACACCAGUGGCGAAGGCGGCUUACUGGCCAGCAACUGACGCUGAGGCGCGAAAGCCAGGGGAGCGAACGGGAUUAGAUACCCCGGUAGUCCUGGCCGUAAACGAUGAAUGCUAGGUGUGGGUGUCGAGAGGCAUCCGUGCCGGAGUUAACGCGAUAAGCAUUCCGCCUGGGGAGUACGAUCGCAAGAUUGAAACUCAAAUGAAUUGACGGGG
rnacentral:rRNA from 1 species